ACUGAAUAGAUACCCCGGUAGUCCACGCUGUAAACGAUGAUUACUCGAUGUUGGCGAUACACAGUCAGCGUCUGAGCGAAAGCAAUAAGUAAUCCACCUGGGGAGUACGAUCGCAAGAUUGAAACUCAAAGGAAUUGACGGGGGCCCGCACAAGCGGAGGAGCAUGUGGUUUAAUUCGAUGAUACGCGAGGAACCUUACCUGGGCUCGAACGUAAGAUGACUGUAGGUGAAAGCUUACAUCUCUUCGGAGCAUUUUACGAGGUGCUGCAUGGUUGUCGUCAGCUCGUGCCGUGAGGUGUCGGGUUAAGUCCCAUAACGAGCGCAACCCCUACCUUUAGUUGCCAACAGGUCAUGCUGGGGACUCUAAAGGAACUGCCUACGCAAGUAGUGAGGAAGGCGGGGAUGACGUCAAAUCAGCACGGCCCUUACGUCCAGGGCUACACACGUGCUACAAUGGCCGAUACAGAGGGCAGCUACCUGGUGACAGGAUGCAAAUCUCCAAAGUCGGUCUCAGUUCGGA
rnacentral:rRNA from 1 species